GUUCUAGCGCAUUCCCUUCAUGCCUACGCGCAUGCGCAGUCGUACAUGGGAGCACUAGGUAUUAAUUUGGCCAAACAGCGGGUGAUAAAAUGCAUAAACUAAAAUCCUCACAAAAGGACAAGGUACGGCAGUUCAUGUCCUUCACUCAAGCCGGGGAGAAGACCGCCGUAUACUGCCUCACUCAAAAUGACUGGAAACUAGAGGUGGCCACCGACAACUACUUUCAGAACCCAGAUUUGUACCACAAGGAAUCCAUGAAAAGCUCAGUGGACCGAAAAAAGCUGGAUCAGCUCUACAAUCGAUAUAAAGAUCCCCAAGAUGAGAAUAAGAUUGGAAUAGAUGGAAUUCAACAGUUCUGUGAUGACCUCAAUCUGGAUCCAGCAAGCAUCAGUGUUCUGGUUGUGGCAUGGAAGUUUCGUGCGGCAACACAGUGCGAAUUCAGCAAGAAAGAGUUCAUUGAUGGCAUGACAGAGCUAGGGUGUGACAGUCCAGAGAAACUCCGAGCUCUUCUGCCCAGAUUAGAACAGGAUCUGAAAGACAGUGGAAAGUUCAAAGAUUUCUAUCAAUUUACUUUCAACUUUGCCAAAAAUCCUGGACAAAAAGGUUUAGAUUUAGAGAUGGCAGUAGCUUAUUGGAACCUGGUGCUGGCUGGACGUUUUAAGUUCCUAGACCUCUGGAACAGAUUUUUAUUGGUAACUCUGUUUCUGUUUUGAAGCUUGUUGUAGAGUUAUUCUGGCGCAACUUCACAAAACCAACAAGGUGCUUGGAAAAAGAAAGAAGAGUAAAAUUGAAAAGCAAAUCCAGCAGCACUUGUGGAGUGGAGAAUAAUUAAAACUGUAUUUUGCCAACACAUUUCGGCAUCUAGGCCUUCAUCAGUGCUAAAACAAUACAUGUGGAGAAUAAAAAGUUUUAAUUAUUCUCCACUCCACAUGUGCUGCUGGAUUUGCUUUUCAAUUUUACUCUGUUUUGAAGCUUUACAGGAUUGGAUCUUUGACCCUCUUUAGCAAUGGAUACAGAUUAAAAUGGGUUUUCUGGUUUCUACGCAACACAUUAAGUACAGCCUCUAUUUUCUUGAAUCAGACCAAUAAAUAGAGUAUUACCCAAAAAGCUUGUAGGUAGAAUCAUUUUCUUUAGUAAUGAAUUGAGUUUCUCUUUAGUCUGUGCCUUCAUUUUGUGCAGGAGCAUCAUAAGCGAUCAAUUCCCAAAGACACAUGGAAUUUGCUUCUGGAUUUUGGCAAUAUGAUUGCAGAUGACAUGUCAAACUAUGAUGAAGAAGGAGCAUGGCCUGUUCUCAUUGAUGACUUUGUGGAAUACGCUCGACCUGUCGU